AUGACUUGCAAUCCUAAAUGGGAAGAGAUAACGAAUGAGUUGCUGCCUGGUCAGAUGGCGCAAGACCGUCCUGAUAUUGUGGCUCGCGUGUUCUACGGCAAACUAGAGGCUAUGAAAGAUUUGUUGUUCAAGAAGCAGAUCCUGGGUGUUGUUGUCGCUUAUGUAUACGUAGUCGAGUUCCAAAAAAGAGGCCUC
rnacentral:rRNA from 1 species